GAGAUGAGGUGACCUGCCCUCAUUCUAAUGCCAGCGCCAUGUCCUCCAUGUGCACAUCUUCACAGACCAGGAACCUCCAACUCCGGUGUAAUGGCAAGGGACGUUGUGUCCUACAUGCUUCCAAUUCACAGUUCAAUCAUCAGUGCCCUCACAUCCAUAAAUACUUGGAGGUGUCUUACAGUUGUGAUUAAACGUUGAAAGAUGACCCGGCAAUGUGAACACAUUCACAUCUUUUUUUUUCACACAAUUUCUGUGAUCUUCUAUUGAAUGGGAAGGAAAUCCUGUUUCAUUUCUUCAUCUGCUUUCUUCGUGAAUUAAUAAUUACAAACAAGUGAUUUUAAUACAUUUUACAGGUUGAGGUAGAUUUACACUCAAUAGUUUCAACCAUUAUGAAUCCUGUAGAAUCUGAAUCGGUGAAUGUUUGAUUAACUUGAAUUCUGUUUUAUCUAAAUAUUGUAAAAAUAGAAAUUGCCCUUUUGGUUUUCAUCACAAGAGUGAUCAGUCACAAGCUAGUUCAACAGCCAGCAAUAAUAUAGGCCUACUGUGUCAAGAUUGUUUUCUGGAUUUUGGUCGCUCUUUUGUUUUAUUCUGCAUGGGUCUAAGGUUUGUUCUGUCCUAUA